rnacentral:tRNA from 1 species
CAAGAAAAGGUCAGGAUAGCUCAGUUGGUAGAGCAG